rnacentral:tRNA from 1 species
AAAGGCUUUAGCUUAAUAAAAGUGUUUGAGUUGCAUUCAGAAGAUAUAGGUUAAUUACUUAUAAGUCUUA